CUAGUUUCUUUAGAAAGGAGACAACGUCAUCUGUCGAUUGUAGUAGAUAGCGAGCAUUUGUUCGAGUUCGUCCAACAGAACAGGAGAAAUAGUUAUCUCCCUUGAGAUCAAGAACAUUCCAUGAAAUCUUUUCCGGUGACUGCCGCCGACCACCCCCACUGCGCUGUUGUUGGUAGCUUUCUUGUCAAGAUUGGCACUUCCACAGCUGUUGUUGGUAGUUCUCUUGUCAAGAUUUGGUGAAGUUCGUGUCUUACCUUGGGAUGAUUUGGACCCACUUCUAGCUGGAAGCUUCAAAGAAGGUCGCCUUUCUGCUGGUGACUUUAAGCCAUCAGUUUGCUUG
rnacentral:misc_RNA from 1 species